UCCUCCUAGUAGGGUCUAUCCCAAGCCAUCCAGGAGGACCUGAGGGAACUGCUAUGAGUCAGCUUUCCCUGUUAAGGGUCCUGGUGAAAGACUCUCACCCAGAAGGGGUAAAAAAGAUAACACUUGGGACCCUUAGCAAGUUUUCAAGAAAUUAAGAAGGGGAGGAUGGAAAUCGAGGGAGCAUUUUCAGUUACAGCUGUGCCUCAGUGAGAUUUUUACAGUAGCCUCGGGAGCAUAUCCAGGUGCAUCCAGCUUGGGAGGCCCAGGUCCUCUGGCUGGGUCUAGAAAUUUGCAGUAGACCUUGGCAAACCUCAGUGACCCAGUAGUAAGAAGGCUGAGAGAAGCCCAGACCUAUUUACAUUUACACCCCUUUCCAGAUCACUAACUUGUGUGGUGUUUGGUGGGCUGAGCUUUAAGCAAGGAGUGUCUCCAUGAUACUGCUGCUGGGAGAGGAAAGGGAGGAAAUCCUUGGGAGUUUUUAAAUCAGAAUUUCACCCAGACAAUACGUGGAUGGGAGCAAGUUUGUUCUUUGUAUUCUGUCCUCUUAGCUAAAGAAGUGCUGGGGAAACUUUUGUUUUUUUACUUUCGGAAAGUGUCAAACUUCAGACACGUGUUGUAAAAUAAACUAUGCAAUAGGAAGCCUUUGUCUCUUGGAAACAUAUUUAGGUCUGCUCUGUUUCCUUUGGUGCCAGAGCUGUCACAAUUGAUUCACUGUUGUUCCGCUGAUAUCAAGUAACAAGUUGUAUACCCCCAAUCUGAGAUACAGUUUCACAAGAAACAAGUAAACAGAAAAGAAAACUGAGGUAAGAAGACUGGAUCAGAACCCAUGAAGCACGUCUUUACUGGCAAUGGAAGCACAGAAGUAUAUAUGAGGAAAACUGCUUAUCUGACAUAAACUUUGGAGCUGUGAUUGCUACCUGUUCAUGAAUCUGUGUUUUCCCAAAUGCACUACAGAACGCCGGUAGAGCAAGAGUUGAUGCUGUAUGCCCUUGGAGUCCAGUCAGAUCAUGUUCCCUGGACAACUUCAUUGUAAAAGUAUAACUGUGGUAGAAACAAUAACAUAAAUACUUCUCUGAAGACUCCUCCACUCCACCCCACACAGCACCCAAGCCUCCCUGUAUGAAGUUAGUCCUCAGACUCCUCCACCCCACCCCCACACAGCACCCAAGCCUCCCGGUAUACCGUUAGUUCUCAUUUUCCCUCUUGUUAGGCCUGCCAAUCACCACGACGGACACAGGCCCCGCCUUCUAUGUAUUCCUCAGGAGUGUUUUCGUGCUUCCCCUCUGUAGGGUUGCUUUUGGUCUUCACUUGAGCCUGCUUUACUUAGAAAACACAUCCGAGAACAGACAGGAAGACCCCAGAGUGGUCUUCUGUAGGUAUUUGUUAUCUGUAGACCCCUCCUAUAGAUAUUGGUUAUCGCCUAGAAUUGAUUAGUGUACCCUAAAAGACAUCUUAAAAUUUUUCCUGUGCAAUAUUUGAAAUGAGUGUUCAUCUUGAACAAACUCUGUGCUCUAGCUAAAGGUGAGGAUUAAAAUAUAAUUAUGAUGUUGAACACAUGAUAGGAAUUAUCUCACUUAAUAUUCAUAAAACCCCAUGAAGCUACUUUGUUAUCUCAAGUCACAUAAGGAAGCUGAAUCUUAUACAAGUUGCCAAGAAGUACUGGGAUGUGGACUCAUAACUUCCUGUCCAAUUCCAGUUCUGGAGUUUUAAAUACCAUGCUAAUCUGAUUUAAUUGAAUUCCUGUAACAAUCUAUGUUUUACCUAAUCUAAGGCCCACAGAUCUAAGAUUAACAUGCAUUUUACCUUGAAUUCUUAUGUUUUAAGUGGUAUUUCUUGCUAAUGGUACAUAGGCUAACAACAUAUUUCCCACUCAGUAACACAUUAGAUUUCCUUGAGUUAGGUUGCAACAACCAGUCUUAGGAAACAUCCCAGAGGUUUAAAACAAGCAAGAUUUGUUUUCUAGCUCCAACAAAGUUGGCUAAGUGUCAUGGUGGAUCUCUUUAGCAGUUAUCCUCUGUGCCAUGGCUUGGGAUACACAUCACACAUACACAUGCUUUCACAGUCUAUAGAGAAGAUGGGGGCCUCGGGAACUCCCAUGGCAGGAACAUAUACAUUGUCUGGAGUUAGUCACAGAGAUCUGCCCGACCCAUAGGGAAGCUAGGAAGUUUAAUCCUUCCAAGUCCUCCAGAAGACAGGAGAAGUAGAGGCAAGUAUCUACAAACACAUCAUCAGUUCACUGAAAUACAGUUGUUAGGAUCCACCAGUGUAAACGUUAGGACUCUUUUUUAUCUAGACCAAAUGUACAAUGAUGGUCUUUCUGAUUAAAAUAUGCUUCAGAACUCAUGAUUAUGUUCAACUGCAAAGAACAAAAUUGUAGAAUGAAUUUCAAUAAGAGUUGUAGAAACAGUAUAUUUCUAGUUAACGUGGUGCUUUAACCAUGGACAACAGAGAGGUUCUCAGGAGUCUGAGACCUAAAAUUAUACAGACACUCUGCUUCUUUGUGGUUUUUGUUGUUGUUUGCUUUUUGUUUUUGUUUUCUUGAGGAUGGGUACCUGUCUAGGUUUAUUGCUUAUUUAUUCAUUAACUCAAUAAAUACGUGUGGAAGACCCCAGCACUGUUUCUGGGUGCUUGGCAGCAGCAAACAUAACUUGACAGGUUUUCACAUCUCACAACGUGUUUGUUUUUUUUGUUUGUUUGCUUGCUUUUUUGUGACAGUCUUGCUUUGUAGCCUAGGCUGACCUUGGACUUGAGAUUCCCUUCCUCAGCCUCCCCAAGGCUGGAAUUAUAAGUGUGUGGCAGCAUGUUCAAGUAUGUGACACCAUAUUCAAGUGUGUGACACCAUGUCCAAGUGUGUGACACCAUGUCCAAGUGUGUGACACCAUGUCCAAGUGUGUGACACCAUAUCCAAGUGUGUGACACUAUGUCCAACCCUCACAGACUUUAGAGUCUGAAAGUAAAGCAGCAACCAAGGUAACAAAGCAUACGGUGUUAUUUUAUUGUUUAUUUAGUUAGUUGGUUAGUUAGUUAGUUAGUUAGUUAGUUAGUUAGCUAGUUAGUUUUGAGACUGGAUUUUUUUUUCUCAUUUUCGUAGCCCAGGCUGGCCUAGAACUAACUAUGUCAUCUAGACUGUCCUCUAACUUGUAGCAAUCCUCCUGCAUCAGCCUCUGAGGUGCUGGGGUUACAGCCACCACACUCAACUUUUAAAAAGAACUUAGAAAAUGUGGUGGUGGUAAGUCUACUUUAGCUAAAACACGAAGGCCUCUGAGAGGAAAUUUUGGACUUGUAACAGGAAAAACAAGAAGGAGCUGGCCAUGCAGAGAUCCCAGACUCCGGGAGAAAGUGUUGUGGGCAGAAUUUUAGAAGAACUGAAGCACAGCUGCUCAGCGGGGCUGAGGACUUGAAAGUGGCUGUGGAAGAGAUCACAGCUCCGUGGGUUUGAGAAAAAGUAGUAGUGGAUGAAGAAAGGUGCUCAGAUAUCGGAGAGACUGUCACUAUAGAGUCCCACACAUAUCCCAGUGCCUGGGAGAGAGGGGAUGGAACACCCUUGCCAGGUCUGAAGGUCUCUGAAGGAAGAAGACAAAGAGCAGGAGUGGCCUACACCUUCCUCCCAAGAUGGAAGCCAGAACAGAGGUAGCCUUAGAGAACACACCAGCCCGACACAGUCCAGGCAGGCAUAUAGAGCCUGGCCAGAAGAAGGUCCUCUCCAUCCACCAUAACGUAUGGUUUCAUGUUGAGUGAGAAUGGGACAGCUGUGACUCUGAGACACUAUAGAAUUGCUGCAACCCUGUGCCCAAAGUGUUUACAUAGAGACGCGAGGAUUCUUCUCUCUCAGGGUAUGCUGUGGAAAGGGUGUCACGGCUAAGAAGCAAAUGCCACCCUCUCUGCAAAUCCCGGAUACAGGCCAGCCUGGUGAGGAGAGGAUGAAGAAUGGGACUAAGAGAAGCCCAGGCCACGAAGACUGUCCGAGACUUCACUUUCACCUCCUCAUGUCAAGGUUAUGAAAUAGAGAUUAAGUUCAAUUACAAAAAAUAAAGUUCACAUUUAGCAAAUA